UGAUUUUAUCCAAUAGGGACCGAACUUUCUCGAGAGCGUCUUCUGAAACCGGUCCGUUGGGUGAAAGUGAUGCUUUACAAGCGUUAUAAAGCUUCUGUACAGCUGGCAUGUUCAGCAAACCGACAACCGCUUUACCCACCGCUUAUACAACAAAGCUUAUCUUACUGUGACUAACCGCUUCGAAUAAACCAAGAAUCCAGCCUGAAGGGUCCUCUAUUGCUCGAAGACCCUUCAAGAACAGCCUUUCACAAGCAGCAGACCCUUCCAGAACACAGUUUGCCACAAGCUGGAUCUACAAUGCAAAUCAAACCAAUGAUCACACAUCCAUGUAGUGCUUAACUGAUCCAGUUUUACAUUCUAUUAUCAAUGCCACCUUUUAGCAAAAGCAGAGAGAACGGUAAAGCGGAAAGAACAGAGAGAGAGAGACUGUUA
rnacentral:misc_RNA from 1 species